rnacentral:rRNA from 1 species
UACGAAGGGGGCUAGCGUUGCUCGGAAUUACUGGGCGUAAAGGGUGCGUAGGCGGGUCUUUUAAGUCAGGGGUGAAAUCCUGGAGCUCAACUCCAGAACUGCCUUUGAUACUGGCGAUCUCGAGUCCGGGAGAGGUGAGUGGAACUGCGAGUGUAGAGGUGAAAUUCGUAGAUAUUCGCAAGAACACCAGUGGCGAAGGCGGCUCACUGGCCCGGUACUGACGCUGAGGUGCGAAAGCGUGGGGAGCA